rnacentral:ncRNA from 16 species
AGGGGCGAGAGCGGCCGGGGUGCCCCAGGGCCCGGAUGUCCUGGGGCGCAAAAGGGGGAAGACCGGUGAAAGUCCGGCGCUGUGCCGCAACGGUAACCGGCCCUAAGCCACAGGCCUAGCGUCUUGGCCGGAAGCCCGGAUACCCGCCCCGGUGCGCGCCUCACCU